GUUGUGACAAGCGGCGACCGCGGUUGUACAGGAGCGGAAGCGUGAGCCUUUUGACGAGCGACUGUGAAGAAUGCAAAGCCAGUGCCAAACUUCGCGAUGACAGCUGUUCACGGCACCGACACAGAGGACAUAUUGCAGUGCAAGAUAGGAGCGGUCUACCUGCAAGCCCAGACAAGCCAUAUUGAGUGGUUUCAAAUACAGCAACUGUACCACCACGACAGUGCAGCACAAGAGACCCUAUCAUCAGUGCUGAGCCAGAAAUUAAAUAGAAAAGCGCUUUCUCCUGAAAUCUUUCGUCUGGU